CUGGAGACAGGUGCUGCAUGGCUGUCGUCAGCUCGUGUCGUGAGAUGUUGGGUUAAGUCCCGCAACGAGCGCAACCCUUGCCUUUAGUUUGCCAGCAGUUCGGCUGGGCACUCUAAAGGGACUGCCGGUGUUAAACCGGAGGAAGGUGGGGAUGACGUCAAGUCCUCAUGGCCUUUAUGACCAGGGCUACACACGUACUACAAUGGCCGAUACAAAGGGCAGCGACACUGCGAGGUGAAGCCAAUCCCGUAAAAUCGGUCUCAGUCCGGAUUGGAGUCUGCAACUCGACUCCAUGAAGUUGGAAUCGCUAGUAAUCGUGGAUCAGCAUGCCACGGUGAAUACGUUCCCGGGCCUU
rnacentral:rRNA from 1 species